GACGAACGCUGGCGGCGUGCUUAACACAUGCAAGUCGAACGGAAAGGCCCUGCUUGCAGGGGACUCGAGUGGCGAACGGGGGAGUAACACGCGGGUGAUCUGCCCUGCACUUCGGGGUAAGCCUUGGGAACUGGGGGUAAUACCGGAGAGGAGCGCUCUUGAGGGUGAGGGGUGGAAAGUAUUUUCGGUGUGGGGUGAGCUCGCGGCCGAUCAGCUUGCUGGUGGGGUAGGGGCCUGCCUAGGCGGGGGCGGGUGGCCGGCCCGGGGGGGUGGACGGCCACCUUGGGGCUGAGGUUCGGCCCAGGCUCCCACGGGGGGGAAGCGUUGGGAAUAUUGGCCAAUGGGGGCGAGCCUGAUGCAGCGACGGCGCGGGGGGGAUUACGGCCUUCGGGUUGUAAACUCCUUUCGCUAGGGACGAAGCUUUUUGUGACGGUACCUAGAUAAGAAGCACCGGCUAACUACGUG
rnacentral:rRNA from 1 species